rnacentral:rRNA from 1 species
UACGUAGGGUGCGAGCGUUGUCCGGAAUUAUUGGGCGUAAAGCGCUCGUAGGCGGUUUGUCGCGUCGGGAGUGAAAACCAGGUGCUUAACACCUGGCUUGCUUUCGAUACGGGCAGACUAGAGGUAUUCAGGGGAGAACGGAAUUCCUGGUGUAGCGGUGAAAUGCGCAGAUAUCAGGAGGAACACCGGUGGCGAAGGCGGUUCUCUGGGAAUGACCUGACGCUGAGGAGCGAAAGUGUGGGGAGCGAACAGG